UGUCAAGCACUCCUGGGAGUUCAGC
rnacentral:piRNA from 1 species